UACGUAGGGUGCAAGCGUUGUCCGGAAUUAUUGGGCGUAAAGAGCUUGUAGGCGGUUUGUCGCGUCUGCUGUGAAAACUCGGGGCUUAACUCCGGGCCUGCAGUGGGUACGGGCAGACUAGAGUGCGGUAGGGGGAGACUGGAAUUCCUGGUGUAGCGGUGAAAUGCGCAGAUAUCAGGAGGAACACCGGUGGCGAAGGCGGGUCUCUGGGCCGUAACUGACGCUGAGGAGCGAAAGCGUGGGGAGCGAACAGG
rnacentral:rRNA from 1 species